UGGGGAAUUUUGGACAAUGGGCGCAAGCCUGAUCCAGCCAUGCCGCGUGAGUGAAGAAGGCCUUCGGGUUGUAAAGCUCUUUCGGCGGGGAAGAAAUUGCACUCUCUAAUACAGGGUGUAGAUGACGGUACCCGCAUAAGAAGCACCGGCUAACUACGUGCCAGCAGCCGCGGUAAUACGUAGGGUGCGAGCGUUAAUCGGAAUUACUGGGCGUAAAGCGUGCGCAGGUGGUUGUGUAAGUCAGAUGUGAAAUCCCCGGGCUCAACCUGGGAACUGCAUUUGAGACUGCACGGCUAGAGGAUGGCAGAGGGGGGUAGAAUUCCACGUGUAGCAGUGAAAUGCGUAGAGAUGUGGAGGAAUACCGAUGGCGAAGGCAGCCCCCUGGGCUAUUUCUGACACU
rnacentral:rRNA from 1 species